AAGUAUGCCUGGAGAGAGAGGUGGGACGCUACAUAUUAGGUAACGUUUGUUCGUCGCGCUCUCCCGGAUGGAGGCGCGUGUUUGAUUCCUGGUCUCGCGCGGUUGAGUAGGCGCUGCCAGUGGCAUUUCUUCGGUGAAAUUCAGGUGCGCCAUCUCAGGAACCCUAGCUCGCGGAAGAUCUGGCACCGCUAACCGGCAUAAUCCAGGUUUUUGUCGCAAGGUCUCAAGAGAUUUUAGGGAUCGGUGAAGAGCAGGAGUGGAAUGCCGGGCUAGAAUCUGGCGUUUUGAUCUCUCGCUUCCCUAUCGAAAAUGCCCGAGGGCUCUGGAUUCGUGACUGCUUUCCAGGCGUCGCCCUUUGCCGGGACGGAAUCCGGGAGGCAGAGGUUUCAUGUGGAGCUUACCUCGAAUGUGGUGUCGUGGAAGAAGCUCCUCAAGAGUGCUCCACCCCCUCCUGCCGCUGAGGCUCCUCCCGGUGCUAAUCCAGCAUUGGAAGCUCGCUUGGCACCAGAGACGGUGCUGCUAUGCAAAGAGCCACGAGGAGGUCCAAAUCGUUUUAGUAACGUCAUUGAGAAGAUAGAACGCCUUUAUCAGGGACAAGGACAAGAAAGUGACGAUGAAAUUGUCGACAAUCACCUUGACAACGUCCCGGAUGAUGAUCAGUAUAAUACAGACGAUUCAUUCAUAGAUGACAAGGAGCUGGACGAGUACUUCUCUGUGGACUAUGCUAAAACGAAGCACAGCGGGUUCUUUAUCAACAAAGGGAAGCUAGAAAAUAUAGAACCCAAUCCGCCUUGUUUACCUGUUCCAAAGAAGAGGAAACGCAAGGAGGUGAAAACCAGUGGUUCUGAAAUGCAUGCUCAGGAUUCUUCAAAGAAAUCAAAAGCUGUUGGAAGGGUAGAGCAAGAAAGCGUAGACAGGCCUUCUUCGGAUGGAAUCGGGGAAUGUCUAGUAAACAAGCAGUCGGAAACGCAGGUUCGACAGGCAGCUGGAAAUGAUGCUUUUUCCUUCGACUACAACAAGUUUUUCUCAAGGGACGGGAGUAGUUGCAGGGAAGCCAAUUACAUAUCAAAAAAUGUGUCGUUGAAAGGGUUGACGAAGAACAGCUCCCGCACCAAGGAAAGCGAGAGAAAUGAGGUAGCUCUAAAGAAGAGCGCUGUUGGAAGUCCGAGCCGGCCAAAGUUUGUGAAGCCAUAUUCGGGUGCAGAUGCCUGCAAAGUUUCUUCGUCAGCGAAUUCAACGUUAGGAAACUCGAGCGUUGAUCCCCAAAAACGCUCGACAGCGAAAGUGUCACUUUUGGAAAGGGCCAUUCAAGAUCUAAAAGCUGGAGUUGCUCAGCUGCGCCCGAUUCCAGAUGUUCUAGAGCCAAAUGCGACCGGAAAAGUAAGGCGUUUGCCAAGGGAAAUAAAGGCCAAAAUAGCAAAAGUUGCUAGACUUGCGGCGAGGCAAGGCAAAGUUCCUGACGAGCUUAUCGAUCGUUUGAUGAGCAUACUUGGUCAUCUGAUGCAGUUGAAGACACUUAAGAGAAAUUUGAAGGAGAUGGUCGAAAUGGGCUUAGUCGCUAAGCACGAAAAGGAACAUCGUUUGUCGCAUAUGAAGCGUGACUUGACAGAAAUUGUUCGCUCAAGGGUACAAUCGAUACAGGCAAAGGCUGAAGAAGGAUUCUCCAACGACGUUCAAGGAGUUGGUGAAAAGAACUACAAAUGGGACCAAGCUACAGAAGACCGGAUCUGCGAACUCUAUGAUCAGUACCUUGAGGGAACUGAUGAAAAUAGAGGUACUCAAAGUCGCAAGCUCUAUAUGGAGCUGGCUGAUCUAUGGCCUGAGGGCUGGAUGGACAAGGACGGGAUCAAGAAUGCUGUUUACAGAGCGAAAGAAAGGAGAAAAGCUUUGCAGAAACAAAGUUUAAACGAAUCGAGGAAGAAGUUUUCGGAGAGGAUAGAUUUAAAUGAGAGACCAGAGGCGCCUUUGGCGUUGGCGCCAAACAUUAACGGGACAAUUUCCAACCGGGAUUUACCUUCUAGUGCUGUUCAAGCUGGGAAGCCUGCUGUUAUCCGGAAGCAAAUGCAGCGUGGGUACCUGGACAAGCACGACGAUUUCAAGGAUAAGAAACGGGUGGAGGAGUCCAUCGAUACCGAUCCGAGCACGUUGGCUUUUCUCAAGUUCAAGAAGCAGACCAAGCCUGUGGGAACUGGGGAGCUCGUGUUUGACGCCAGUUAUCAGGGGCUUCGAUCGGUGGAGUCGGUCUUUCUAGACAGACCGUCCUGAUACGUCACUUACAGGUGUAAGAUAAGCAGGAUUUGGAAAGUUAGAUAGCGAAGGACAGCUGGAUUCUUCGGAUUUUUUGUUCUCUUAAAGUUUGAAAGGGUGGAGAAGGGAAGCACGUAAUUGCUAUUAGAUGGGCCAGAGCAUUCGGACCGCACGAGCAACGACUCAGCUGGUCCAAAAUUUGUCGUCUGCUGACUACCUGGAACGGGAAGUUGAGGCACAAAUCGACAGCCCACCACGUCUCGUCCUGUACUGCCGUCUCGAGAAGGCCGUUCUCGACAACGAUCUGCUCCCACACGUUUUUCUUAUUCUUCAGAAGCUGUUCGAGACUGACCGGCUUUCCAUCGUACGCCGGACACUCAAGCUUGAACUCCCGAGCCAUGACAGCCCAGAGCCUCUCCCAGCUCGUGCAGUCUCCGUCGGCAAUGUUAAACGCUUCAUUCUUGGCACUUGGAUUCGUCGCAGCCCACAGCUCCUGCUCCGCAACAAGGUCGGCAUCCGAAACGUUCGUAAGCGUCUCCCACGACUGCCGGUUUCCUGGAAAAUUAAAGCUGAGCUUCUGGUGUU